UAUAGUUGUCAAUUGAAUGGCUGUCUGAAUGAGGUUGAGUGGUAAAGACAGAUGGAGACCAUAGUGACCUGAGGCCGGCCGAUGAAGACUUGGUUGUUGGUGGUUAAGGGAUGUGACAUGUGAGUGAACUGGAUAUGGGUUGCAAAGAGGAACACUGACCUGCCAUAAUCUACUGGAUCUUUCCUGGAGGUGAAGUUCAUUUUCUGUCAAAGAGAAAAAGACAAGUAAAUUCCACAAUCUAUAAAUCCACCCCUUCAUGCACAAAGGUUCCACUCCUGGAGAGCCUAAGGCAACCAAUGUCUCCAAAGGAAUG